UGUGUGUGUGUGUGUGUGUGUGUGUGUGUGUGUGUGUGUGUGUGUGUGUGUGUGUGUGUGUGUGUGUGUGUGUGUGUGUGUGUGUGUGUGUGUGUGUGUGUGUGUGUGUGUGUGUGUGUGUGUGUGUGUGUGUGUGUGUGUGUGUGUGUGUGUGUGUGUGUGUGUGUGUGUGUGUGUGUGUGUGUGUGUGUGUGUGUGUGUGUGUUCCACUUUGAUGCCUCCCACCAGGAGCUGACCUGGCAGACCUGGAACUUCAGAGACUGUCUCUGGGAAGAGCAGCGCAGCCUAACAUAGGAUGAGAUUUACCUUAAGCCUGAGUGUAUUUCACAGUGACGAACAGGAACAGCACUUACCACUUCCCUGUGUGCCGAUUUAUGACUAUGCUUGAUCUGCUCUACACUAAUAACAAGGCAAUAACAUGCGCAGCCUGACUCAAAGUCAAUAAAGCACACACAGAGACCUUUUUUUAUUUUUAUGACAGUAGUAGUAGGCUAGGCCUAUAAAGUGUCUCAUUUGGCACAUGAUAACUCAGUAAGGCCAAAGACACCAAUAUGGCAGCGUGAUCCUUAGAAAGGUUCUGUCAACAUGAGUAAUAGAUCAUAUGACCCACUUGCUGUGUAACUGGCACACAGCACAGCUAGUGUUCGAGCUCCUCCCCCUAGCCUAGCUCCUCCCCCUCCUCUCGCUGAGGUGUUUUUACCCAAAUCCUCUAUUAUCUCCUCCCCAUUAAAUGUUGACUGUGGUCCAGGCGCCACCUAUACGGGAGCUGCCCAGCAGGAAUGCAGUGACUUCAUCUGACGAGCACAAGAAUUCCAGCUUUCUUAACAAACGUCAUUAUUACGGUUUAUAUACCAUUACUAGCUCCCCUCCCUGUGACCAAGCUACCCCCAACAUUACUCAUGAUGUGGUAUUUACAGGCCAAACACUGGACGAGCUGGGUAGCAUCAGGGGAGCUCAUUUGGCAACAGGACACAGAACUAUUCACAACACCACCACACAAAGGAGUCAAAACUCAACAUUGCCACAUUUUUAUCUAUCUUCCGGUUACUCACACAGGCUGUUUUCAUUUAGAAUGCAAGUCAGGGAGGGAGGAAGGGUUCAUCUGCGUAUCAACCUCACCAAAAGAGCAUUCUAGCACUAUGGUGGAAUUGUCACGACUGGCCAAAAUAUUUUUUCACUGUACUGCAAUAACUAUGUGCACAUAAAAAACUCACACACAGACCAAAGUGUGUUCACUCUAAUCGAGAUGAGAUAAAAUGAGUCAUCAAUCUCUAUCGCAUUGCUUAUCUCCUUCAAUAACAGCCCUCUUUCCUUCCUCUGGUAUCGGUCAGGCCGAGAGCAGUGGAAUGCUACCUUACAGGCCUGUGUGAGAGAGAGACGCUGGAACAAACUCUCCUUUGUCUGUGAGAAGACUAGGUCUCUAAACAUAUACUCAGUAACCCAGUAAAUCAAACAUGGCAUCCAACACCAACCCAUCACAGUGGCCUGAGAGAGACACCGCUCAACACACUCAGGUAGGAAACGGGAACAAACACUACACCUGAAUUCUACAAAAUGGCUUCCUUUCCUUGUCACUUGUAUUGAAUCUGCCAAACUGGACGAUAGAUGGAAGCAAGUGUAAAAGUUGAUAUAGGCCUCCAAAGAUUUCCUUUAAUUUAUCUAGUGUUUUCAGAUGGUUGUAACAUCAGGUGGUGAGAUAAGGUGAGGACAUAUUAGAUAAGAAGAGGGUAACGCUUUGGAUUAACAGAGGUAUCUGUCCCCUGACCCCUAUACAUUAUCUCAAUCUCAUAUAGCACCUCACCAAGUCUUAUUAUCCAAACGAGCCCUAGUGUGUUGGGGGUGUGGCAGGUUCCCACGCAGCCUAUGACACCCUGUGACAACUUAGGAGUUGAGUGUGCCAUGACAAGCUGUCCUCCCACAAAAACACACCUCCUAGACAGUGAAAUGUGAUCAAGCACAGCAACAGGAAAUAAACCAACCACGUUACUGCCUAUUCUCACUGUUUGUUUGUCACAGGAACAACGGUGGUAUCUAUGGGGCAUUACCAUGUAAAAAGCCCCAUGAGCACUAUCAUGUGAAGUUUAUAGGAGAACAUACAAUUCGGUGUCAAAUGUAAGCAAAGAGAAAUAAGGCAUAUGUGUUUUUAAACCAUUUUCCAGGAAUUAGCUACAUUUUUGUUUUUACUGUACUCUAAUGUGAUGUGCUGUCCAAACUUGUGAAACAUAGACGUCUGUAAUUGGUUCAGAUUUUGUCUGGCCAGGGCGGACUGACCAAAUUUCAAUUACUUUCAACAUCCAAGGACGUCCACUGUCAGUCGGUGCUUGAUACAUUGAAUAGAAAAAAGAGUAGGUGUCAUGGGAGGUGUCAGUAAGACACCUCCCAUGAGAAGCUGAAAGAAGUGACAUAAUAUCGAGAGAGGAGAGAGGGAAAGGGGGAGAGUGAGAGGGAGGGGCUGUCAAGACUGUUGUCAGGGUCUUGCCUUGACCACUAGAUGACAGAAAGAGAAGAAAAAAAACAUUAUGGGCUCAACAUAACAACGUGUCAGUGGAAGGGAGGACAGUAGCAGGAGACCAGUGGAAGGGAGGACAGUAGCAGGUGACCAGUGGAAGGGAGGACAGUAGCAGGAGACCAGUGGAAGGGAGGACAGUAGCAGGUGACCAGUGGAAGGGAGGACAGUAGCAGGAGACCAGUGGAAGGGAGGACAGUAGCAGGUGACCAGUGGAAGGGAGGACAGUAGCAGGAGACCAGUGGAAGGGAGGACAGUAGCAGGUGACCAGUGGAAGGGAGGACAGUAGCAGGUGACCAGUGGAAGGGAGGACAGUAGCAGGUGACCAGUGGAAGGGAGGACAGUAGCAGGUGACCAGUGGAAGGGAGGACAGUAGCAGGUGACCAGUGGAAGGGAGGACAGUAGCAGGUGACCAGUGGAAGGGAGGACAGUAGCAGGUGACCAGUGGAAGGGAGGACAGUAGCAGGUGACCAGUGGAAGGGAGGACAGUAGCAGGAGACCAGUGGAAGGGAGGACAGUAGCGGAAGACCAGUGGAAGGGAGGACAGUAGCAGGUGACCAGUGGAAGGGAGGACAGUAGCGGAAGACCAGUGGAAGGGAGGACAGUAGCAGGUGACCAGUGGAAGGGAGGACAGUAGCAGAAGACCAGUGGAAGGGAGGACAGUAGCAGGUGACCAGUGGAAGGGAGGACAGUAGCAGGUGACCAGUGGAAGGGAGGACAGUAGCAGGAGACCAGUGGAAGGGAGGACAGUAGCGGAAGACCAGUGGAAGGGAGGACAGUAGCAGGUGACCAGUGGAAGGGAGGACAGUAGCAGGUGACCAGUGGAAGGGAGGACAGUAGCAGGUGACCAGUGGAAGGGAGGACAGUAGCAGGUGACCAGUGGAAGGGAGGACAGUAGCAGGUGACCAGUGGAAGGGAGGACAGUAGCAGGUGACCAGUGGAAGAGCCUUUGCUUAUUUCUCAUUUCUCAUAUGGAAAAUGGUUGAAACAUGUAUAGGGGAGUCCUAAAUGAUUGACACCCCUGAUAAAUGAAGUAUUCCAAAGUUCAGUAUUUGGUCCCAUAUUUCUAGCAUGCUAAAUGAUAACAUUUAGCUUGUGAAUCUACAAACUUGUUGGAAGCAUUUGCACUUCUUUUUGGUUGUGUUUCAGAUCAUUUUGUGCUCAAUAUAAAUGAGUGGUUAAUAAUGUAUUGUGUCAUUGUCACGUCUACUCCUGCUCCACCUCUCCAGCGCUCGACGUCUCUAGGUUUACUAACCACCAGUCCUGGCAACCCAUCAUAUACGCGGACCUGUGCCUCAAGUGUUCUCUCUACAGCUCUCGUGGACUCCGGUGCUGCUGGGAACAUCAUCGACCAGGCCCAUGCCUCCUCCCUGAACUUAACCUCAUAUCCGCUCUCCUCUCCUUUUCCUGUCCCAAGCCCCGGAUAUGCGACCAUUGGGAUCCGGCACAAUAACGCACAUCACAGCACCACUCACUCUCACUGUGGGAGAGCCUUCACGGAGAAGCUGGGGGUCAUGGUCAGUCUCACAUCCGGAUACUGGCCUCUGUCCCAUGGGCAGGUGGAGAGGACCAACCAGGACCCGGGGGGGGGGGUUCCUUAGGAGUCACUGUCUGGACCGGUAGGGGGACUGGGCCUCAGAACUCACUUUGUCACUCCUCCACCGUCUCCCUACCAGUGCGUCCUGGGGUACCAGCCGGCCCUGGCCCCGUGGACACCGAGCCAGAUCGAAGCCCAUGCGGUGGAUGAGUGGUUCCGGCGUGCAGAGGAGGUUUGGAACGCUGCCCAUGAGAGGCUCUAAUGCGCCGUCAACCGACAGAAGGGCCAGGCGGACCGCCACCAUAGUGAGGCUCCCGUGUUCCAUCCUGGUGAUCGCGUCUGACUCUCCACCAGGAACCUCCCGCUCCACUUGCCCUGCCGGAAGCUGAUUUUAUGGGGCAUUUCAAUGUCCUCCGGAGGGUCAUUGAGUUAACAUACCGAUUACAGCUCCCCACUAACUACCGGAUCUGACCCUAUUUUCAUGUUUCCCUCCUCAGGCCGAUGGCUCCUGGUCCCCUGGCUGAUGCUGUCCCCCAAGACACCCCUCCACCUCCCCUGGAUGUUGAGGGAAGCCCUGCCUAUGCCGUCAGAUCCCUCCUGGACUCCCAACGUUGUGGGGGUCGGCUUCAGUACCUGGUGGACUGCGUCCCAUCAUUAGGUACACCUUAACUUCAUCACAACCCUGAUUACUCACCUUUUAUUUAGCCCUCAGUUGUCAUCAGUCCUUAGGUGUUAUUGUUUUCUCCCACAUUCAGUACUCUUCUCCUGUCAUCAGUCCUUAGGUGUUAUUGUUUUCUCCCACAUCCAGUACUGUUCUCCUGUCAUCAGUCCUUAGGUGUUAUUGUUUUCUCCCACAUUCAGUACUCUUCUCAUGUCAUCAGUCCUUAGGUGUUAUUGUUUUCUACCACAUUCAGUACUCUUCUCCUGUCAUCAGUCCUUAGGUGUUAUUGUUUUCUCCCACAUUCAGUACUCUUCUCAUGUCAUCAGUCCUUAGGUGUUAUUGUUUUCUACCACAUUCAGUACUCUUCUCCUGUCAUCAGUCCUUAGGUGUUAUUGUUUUCUACCACAUUCAGUACUCUUCUCCUGUCAUCAGUCCUUAGGUGUUAUUGUUUUCUCCCACAUUCAGUACUCUUCUCAUGUCAUCAGUCCUUAGGUGUUAUUGUUUUCUCCCACAUUCAGUACUCUUCUCAUGUCAUCAGUCCUUAGGUGUUAUUGUUUUCUACCACAUUCAGUACUGUUCUCCUGUCAUCAGUCCUUAGGUGUUAUUGUUUUCUACCACAUUCAGUACUGUUCUCCUGUCAUCAGUCCUUAGGUGUUAUUGUUUUCUACCACAUUCAGUACUGUUCUCCUGUCAUCAGUCCUUAGGUGUUAUUGUUUUCUACCACAUUCAGUACUGUUCUCCUGUCAUCAGUCCUUAGGUGUUAUUGUUUUCUACCACAUUCAGUACUGUUCUCCUGUCAUCAGUCCAUUAUUCACCUGCUUUCUGACUCCCGGUCUGUUACGUUACGCUCAUUUUGGAGUCACUUUUAUUGUAUAUUAGAAUAGAAUAUGUUUCUUAACACUACUACAUUAAUGUGGAUGCUACCGUGAUUAUGGAUAAUCCUGAAUGAAUUGUGAAUAAGGAUGUGUGAGAAAGUUCAUACCCCCAAGAAAUGCUACUCUCUCGAAAUGACCAAAAAACAGGGGAUAACUGUAACUUGCUCACUCGUCAUUAUUCAUGACCCCUACCUUUCUGGAGAAAAAAAAUGAAUCGUGCACAUAUAUCCUGGGAUAAUGUAAGUAUGUCAACAAGACGUCCAGCAGCCUCUGACAGCUUCUCCGACCCCAACUGUCUUCAUCGCGACUUCACCACAUCCUUACAGCGGCAUUUCAAGGCCUGACUAACACUCGUCUAUGUGGUUGUGGAGGAUCCACACAGACCACUGACACAUGUUCAGAAACACAUCCACCACCACUUUCCAGGUUUUCAAAAACACAAAUAUCCACCCAGGCCCUCC